UACGGAGGAUCCUAGCGUUAUCCGGAUUUAUUGGGUUUAAAGGGUGCGCAGGCGGGAUGAUAAGUUAGUGGUGAAAGCCUACGGCUUAACUGUAGAAUUGCCAUUAAUACUGUCAUUCUUGAGUACAGAUGAAGUGGGCGGAAUGUGUCAUGUAGCGGUGAAAUGCUUAGAUAUGACACAGAACACCGAUAGCGAAAGUAGCUCACUAAGCUGUAACUGACGCUCAGGCACGAAAGCGUGGGGAG
rnacentral:rRNA from 1 species